rnacentral:rRNA from 1 species
AUCGAACGCUGGCGGCAUGCCUAACACAUGCAAGUCGAACGGACACGUCGUGGUUAGUGGCGGAGGGGGGGGGACGACGGGGUAACUUACCUGUAGGUUCCGAAUCACUGAGGGUAACUUGUCCUAAUACCGAAUGUGCCCUUAUGGGAUAAGAGUUAUUGCCUUUGGGGCGGCCCGCGUCUGAUUAGCCGGUUGGGGAGGUAAAGGCUGACCAAGGCGACGAUCAGUAGCUGGUCUGAGAGGAUGAUCAGAUACAUUUGUGCUGAGACACAGCCGAAACUCCUAGGGGAGGCAGCAGAGGGGAAUCUAGCGCAAUGGGGGAAAGCCUGACGCCGCCAUGCGGGGUGAAUGAUGAAGGUCGUAGGAUAGUAAAUUUCUUUCACAGGGGACGAUAAUGACGGUACCCGGAGAAGAAGCACCGGCUAACUACGUG